UUUUACUGCAUGGUUUGCAUU
rnacentral:piRNA from 1 species